UGGGGAAUAUUGCGCAAUGGGGGAAACCCUGACGCAGCAACGCCGCGUGCGGGAUGAAGGCCUUCGGGUUGUAAACCGCUUUCAGCAGGGAAGACAUCGACGGUACCUGCAGAAGAAGCCCCGGCUAACUCCGUGCCAGCAGCGGCGGUAAUACGUAGGGGGCGAGCGUUAUCCGGAUUCAUUGGGCGUAAAGCGCGCGCAGGCGGUUGCUCAAGCGGAACCUCUAAUCUCGGGGCUUAACCUCGAGCCGGGUUCCGAACUGGACGACUCGAGUGCGGUAGAGGCAGAUGGAAUUCCCGGUGUAGCGGUGGAAUGCGCAGAUAUCGGGAAGAACACCAACGGCGAAGGCAGUCUGCUGGGCCGUCACUGACGCUGAGGCGCGAAAGCUGGGGGAGCGAACAGG
rnacentral:rRNA from 1 species